ACACACACACACAGACACAGUUGUGGUGUUUGCAUAUGUGUGCUGUGUCACUGCUGCACACACUUUAAGAGCUGUAGUGCUGAUCAGAGUGUGUUCAGUCCUUUCAGAGCCACUGACACGCAGCACAAUGAUGAUGGUACUGAUUCUACUGCUGGGGACACUGGGACUCCUCGCUCACCAGUCCUUUGGGGAAACUGUCCUGACUCAGUCUCCAGGAUCUCAGUCUGUUUCUCCAGGAGAAUCUGUUACUCUCACCUGUAGCGCCAGUACCGAUAUUGAUGAUGACCUCCACUGGUACCUGCAGAAACCUGGAGAAGCUCCUAAACUCCUGAUCAGAUAUGCAUCUACUCGUCAGUCUGGCAUUCCAGAUCGUUUCAUUGGCAGUGGAUCUGGUUCACAGUAUAAUCUAAAAAUCUCUGGAGUUCAGUCUGAAGAUGCAGGAGAUUAUUACUGUCAGCAGGAUGACAACCUUCCGUACACACAGUGUUAUAGCGCCGUACAAAAACCUCCCUCAGCUGUAGAGGAAGUGCUCUGAGUCAGAAACACACACUGAUCUGAGAACAGCUGCAGAGCUGCUAAAGCUGCACUCCACUGAACAUCACCACAAUAAAACAUAAAGCUUCAUUUGACUGAAGCUAAAUGUGAAGCCAGUUUGAUGCAGGUCUACGUGAUGAUGUAAUGACUGUAUUUAUGGUGUCAUUGUCAUUACAGUAUUAGCCAGUACAUUCUCUCUGUACAUUUUGCAAAGCAGAGGCAGACUGGAGGCCAAACCCCUCCACCCCAGCAGAUACAGACUCCAUCUCUGGAGCAGAAUAUGGCAAGGUGUGUAAUAUUAGACAUUAGGCAUUUCAGACAUCUGUGCCUAUAAAGCUCUUGCUUCCUUUACCCUGAUUAUAUUCUGAGCUAAAAGAGCAGACAAUCAGCUCCUGUCAGAGCACCUGGGUGAUAAAAGAUAAAUAUAAUUGUAAAUGAACGUAAAAUGGUUGUGUCACUUUAAAUUUGUUCUGAGCAUGUUACCUGCUUUACGCAGUGGGGGGUAACGCAAAGUAGUCAGAUCAGCAGAGAGAAGAGCGAAGAUUCAUGUUCCUCCACAGUGCAUGAAGAUAAAAUUGAGUUUUAUAGUGAAUGGUGUCUUGAUUCUGCUCAGUUUAAACCUAGUACCCUUUGGUAAAGCGGAGCGAGGUAUGUAAAGUUGAUGUAUGUUACGUUUUGUAGUUAAUUUCAAAGUCAUAUGAGCUCGUUUGUAUGUAUAUGCUAAUCGUGAGCUCUGCUUGUUAAUUAGUUGUUUCAAACUGUCUUUAUUCAUUUCAUGGCUUAUUUUUCAUCUGUUUCUCUGUAAAUGUGAACUUUAUUUAUCGUAUUUUUCUUUAUAUGAGUUGUAUUUAUUGGUUUUGUUGUUUCUUUGUGUAGUUUCACGGUGCUACGCAAACUAAAGCCUAAUAGCGCUCUUCAUGAGCGAAAUAAAGAAAGAAGCACCUGUCAGAAACUCUCUGUGUUCCGUUUAUGGAUGACAAAAGGCAGCUACAGUGCAUCUAUCACAUCGCUGCCGUCUUUUUCGCGGGAACGCAAAGCUACAGCACGGCCAUUUCUUCGUGUGCAAGCAGCUGGGGGUCGUGACGUCAUCGUAGAGGCUUAAAGAGCAAGGUCGGAAGGUGGCAGUGUACUGUCCUUCUACGUUGCAGAUGUAGAGUGAGACUUUGAGUGACAAGAGAGUUUA